rnacentral:rRNA from 1 species
UACAGGGGGUGCGAGCGUUGUUCGGAAUUACUGGGCGUAAAGGGCGCGUAGGCGGCUUAGCAAGUCAGACGUGAAAGCCCGGGGCUUAACCCCGGAAGUGCGUUUGAAACUGCUAGGCUUGAGUGCAGUAGAGGUUAGUGGAAUUCCCAGUGUAGAAGUGAAAUUCGUAGAUACUGGGAGGAACACCAGUGGCGAAGGCGGCUAACUGGGCUGCAACUGACGCUGAGGCGCGAAAGCAUGGGGAUCAAACAGG